rnacentral:rRNA from 1 species
GACGAACGCUGGCGGCGUGCUUAACACAUGCAAGUCGAACGGAAAGGCCCUGCUUUUGUGGGGUGCUCGAGUGGCGAACGGGUGAGUAACACGUGAGUAACCUGCCCUUGACUUUGGGAUAACUUCAGGAAACUGGGGCUAAUACCGGAUAGGAGCUCCUGCUGCAUGGUGGGGGUUGGAAAGUUUCGGCGGUUGGGGAUGGACUCGCGGCUUAUCAGCUUGUUGGUGGGGUAGUGGCUUACCAAGGCUUUGACGGGUAGCCGGCCUGGGAGGGUGACCGGCCACAUUGGGACUGAGAUACGGCCCAGACUCCUACGGGAGGCAGCAGUGGGGAAUAUUGCACAAUGGGCGGAAGCCUGAUGCAGCAACGCCGCGUGCGGGAUGACGGCCUUCGGGUUGUAAACCGCUUUCGCCUGUGACGAAGCGUGAGUGACGGUAAUGGGUGAAGAAGCACCGGCUAACUACGUG